ncrna:unclassified sequences lysM-TM7 RNA
ACCUACCAGAAAAUACUUUAAGGCAUUCGUUUAACUAUAAUAUUAAUAAAAAGGUCGACAUUAUGCUAAGUUUCGAAAGAGGCGGUGUUAAUAUGGUAGUGCAUCACAGUAAUGUGCUUGCGGGAG